GGGAGAAGUAUGCGUCCUCUUACCCUUUCCCCUGCUGUUGGUCAGCUUCAGGAGUGAGGGCUCAAUGUGAAGUGGGGAAGGAAUGUGUCUCAGCUGCUCUCUAUGGUUCACAGCUCCUAGACUCGGAAUAUAAGCUCCUUUACAUUCUGCAGACGAACCAGGACAGACAGGAACCAGAGAUAAUGGGAACUGCAGAUGCUGGAGAUUCCAAGAUAAUAAAAUGUGAGGCUGGAUGAACACAGCAGGCCAAGCAGCAUCUCAGGAGCACAAAAGCUGACGUUUCGGAUUCCUUCAUCUUUCAUCUUUCGAUAAGGAUUUGAAAGGUGAAAAUUAGAAAUCGAGUGAGUGAGUAUUCAACGAAGCUUUAUAAAGUCUGACAGUAGCCCCCGUCACUGAAUUGAAAAAUACCGAUCCCGGUUUUGUCACGAACAGACUGGAAUUGCUGAAUUUCUCUGUUUGCCGGGCAGGGCUGUUUACCGCCACGAUUAUUGGGGGCAACGUUAUCUGAGCCGUGUGAGUCCGCCAUCUUUAUCCGGGGCCAACUGGAAGCGGAGCGCACGCAUGUCCUUUAUUUGCUGGGAACGGGGCGAGGGGAAGGAGAACAGGAUUUACGAACCACAACUUCAAACCAAGAGAAAUGCUUUUCUUUUUCUGUUCUGAAUCUCUAUCCUGGACUGAUCGUGAUUGAUCUGUAAGAUUGCAAAAUCCAUGUCAGCAGAGGAAUUGGCAGACUUAAACCUGAAACCAAACUGUCAAAGAGUAACUCGAUUGAUGAGGAUCUGAAUAUUAUCAGCAUCUGAAUGUGGUAGCGUUCAGGAAGUUGGAGCAUUUGCAGUCAGUGAACUCAAAUGUCACUUUAGAUUCUGACGGGAAUGUUGAAUUCAUCAUGUCUUGAAUAUCGUCAGGCUUUGGUCAUGGAAGCCAAAACCAGUGUCCGCACUGAGAAGCCAUGGAAAUGUGAGGACUAUGAGAAGGAAUUCAAAUAUCCAUCUUGCCUGGAAAGUCAUCAGUGCAGUCACACUGGCGAGAGACUGUUCACACUGGUGAGAAACCAUUCGGGUGCACUCACUGUGCGACUCGCUUCAAGCGACCAUCUAAACUCUCAAUACACCAGCGUGUUCACGCUGGGGAGAGACUGUUGAUCUAUUCCAUUUGUAGGAAGCAUUCCAUUCACUCAUCUGACCUCGUGAAACACCAGCAAGUUCAUUCUAAUGAGAGGCCUUUUAAAUGUUCAGACUGCGGGAAAUGCUACAAGUGUUCUGAAGAACUGAUGUCCCAUCAACGUGUUCACACUGAUGAGAGACCAAUAAGAUACUCUCACUGUGGGACUGAGUAUAGAUGAAUGUGUAAACUCACUGUACACCAAUGAAUUCACAUGGGGAAGAUACCAUUCACUUGCUUCAAGUGCAGGAAGGGAUUCACCAGAUUAUUGUACCUGCUGCAACACCAGCAAGUUCAUUCUGACGAGAAUGUGGGAAAUGCUAUAAAGAUUCUGGAGAAUUAGCACCCGUGAACUUGUUCAUGUUAUUGGAAUAACUUCUGAAUGUUCAGAUUGCAGAAAAUGCUUUAAAAGUUCUCAACAAUUGAUGAUCCAUCAAUGUGUUUACACAGGUGAGAGACUGUUCCAGUGCUCUCACUUUGAAACUGGGUUCAAGUGAUCAUUUCACCUCAUUGUAUGCCAGUGAUGUCACACUAGGGAGAGAUUGUUUGCCUGCAUGGACUGUGGUAAGGGAUUCACUCAAACACCCAAGCCCCUGAAAUAUGAGUGAAUUCACAAGUAACCAAAGUGGUUGCAUUUUGCUAUUAAUUAUAUUUGGCAGUGGGCACAUUUCAUUGUUGUCUAUUUCUACCAAUGUUAAAUUGACUUUCCUUCAAAUAUAGGUUUUUAUUUUAUGGAUAAAAGUCAAAUAAGUUAGCUUUGUGUUUAACACAAAACUUACAUUUUGUUUUCAAAUGUCCCAAGCACAAGCUAAUUUCUUUUGGCCUUCUUGGCGAGUGGAUUCAGAUACAGAAGCAGGAAUGUCCUUCUGUCAUUCCACAGGUCUCAGUGAGACCAUAGCUGGAUUAUUGCAUGCAAUUUAUGCCUCUUUAUUCUUGUGGAAGGUUGUUUCGGCUGUGGAGGGAGUACAAUGAAGGCUGACCCAAAUGAUUCCUGGAAUGAGAUAAUGGGAACUGCAGAUGCUGGACAAUCCGAGAUAACGGAGUGUGGAGCUGGAUGAACACAGCAGGCCAAGCAGCAUCUUACUGACAUGUGAAUAAAGACCAGAUCAGUAUUCACUCGAGUUCAGAAGACCAGAACCAUGGGUCAGACUUUAAGGAUAUGGGCUAAGCUAUUUAGGACUGAGAUAAGAAGUUUCCUCGCCUCCGGAAUUAUCUGCCACAGAAAGUACUUGAAGCCAAACCAUUGAAUGUAUUUAAGAAGGAUUUGGAUAUAUGUCUUGGGGUGAGAGGGAUCAGGAUAUGGAGAGAAAGCUGGAACAGAUGGAUGAACAGCCAUGAUCGUGUUAAAUGGUGGAGCAGGCUUAAAUGACCAAACAGCCUACUUCAAUUUUCUUUGUCAAUGGUUAUUAUUUUCCCUAAUACUUUUUCACUUCUGAUCAUUAUUAUGGUGCUUUCCUCCUUUUUUGCUGCUUAACUACUUAGUCUUUUUUUAAAAUGGUGUAAGUGUUCCCUACGGUGAAUUGGCCACUUGCUCUUGCUGCAAUCCUAAUGUGUCUGAAUGAAACCAAGAAACAAAGCCCUGUUCGUUGCCAUUGAGAAAUUUGAAAGAACCUCUUUGCUGUUUACUCAAUAGCA